rnacentral:rRNA from 1 species
AGUGAACGCUGGCGGUAGGCCUAACACAUGCAAGUCGAACGGCAGCACAGUAAGAGCUUGCUCUUACGGGUGGCGAGUGGCGGACGGGUGAGGAAUACAUCGGAAUCUACUUUUUCGUGGGGGAUAACGUAGGGAAACUUACGCUAAUACCGCAUACGACCUACGGGUGAAAGCAGGGGAUCUUCGGACCUUGCGCGAUUGACUGAGCCGAUGUCGGAUUAGCUAGUUGGCGGGGUAAAGGCCCACCAAGGCGACGAUCCGUAGCUGGUCUGAGAGGAUGAUCAGACACACUGGAACUGAGACACGGUCCAGACUCCUACGGGAGGCAGCAGUGGGGAAUAUUGGACAAUGGGCGCAAGCCUGAUCCAGCCAUACCGCGUGGGUGAAGAAGGCCUUCGGGUUGUAAAGCCCUUUUGUUGGGAAAGAAAAGCAGCAGGUUAAUACCCCGCUGUUCUGACGGUACCCAAAGAAUAAGCACCGGCUAACUUCGUG